CGUGUAGGUGAGCCGGGUCAUGAGCUUGGUCUUCUGGAACUCGGGCGGCGCGUUCUUGGCGAUGCCCUCGGCUUUCACGGUGAAGGAGGUGGGUUCCAGGCAGAACUUCUUCAUCUCGUACUUGCCGGCCUUGAAGGGGAAGGCGUCGACCCCGCCGUCGAUGGUCGGGCACUGGUUGGCUGUCCCCGUCCCCUUGACCUCCAUGUACGUCUUGCUCUGGAUCUCGUCGAAGGUCAGCCGCUUCGGCGCCCCCUCCGCGCUCGCGCCCUGCUCGACAGAAUGCCCACCCUCCGUUAGUUUCUAGCGACCGGAGGCGUAGAAGAUGAAGUGAUGGAAACAUCCAUGGGCAGUUAGAUUUACCGAGACGAGGAGGGCGGAGGUGGCGAGGGCGAAGCCGGCGAGCUUGGCGGCGUCGGCGCACUUGGUGGCGACCUCGCGGAGGUCGGAGGUGAGGGAGCAGGAGAUGGUCCGGGCGGCGUGCGAGGAAGGGCGCGCGGAGGAAGGGAGCAGCACGGCGGAGGAGGAGGAGGCGGAGCGGCCCAUCUUGGCCGGCUGCAUCAGGGUGGCGGCGGCCUGGAGAGACGCUGCCAUGGCUGCUGCUUGGUAGGGGGGGAUCGGUGGAGCUCGUGGUUGAGAGGCGU
rnacentral:lncRNA from 1 species